UAUGUCCUAUAUUCAUGGCCAAUUUCUGUUUGGUGGGAUUAGGAGCAACCUGACAGUGUGGCAGAAGUUGAUUCUUGGGAUUCUAAAUAUGACUCUCCUCAUGCCUCUUCAUGAAACAUUAGUUACCAAAGUGAAUAAAUUCUAAGAAAUAGUUGGACACUUGACUUUAUGAUGAAGGAGAAAUAAGUUGCCAAAAUUAUCAUAAACUUUCAAGAUACAGUGCUGAUCCCUCAGUCAUCAAAUUCCUGGCUGAUAUAGCUGUUAACUCCAGUUUCUGAAGCUAAUUGUCCAUUUACAUGGAAUCCACCAAAAUCCAUCAUCCCUGCUGUGUCACUUGCUGA